rnacentral:rRNA from 1 species
UGGGGAAUAUUGCACAAUGGGCGCAAGCCUGAUGCAGCCAUGCCGCGUGUGUGAAGAAGGCCUUAGGGUUGUAAAGCACUUUCAGCGAGGGGGAAGGCAUCACACUUAAUACGUGUGGUGAUUGACGUUACUCGCAGAAGAAGCACCGGCUAACUCCGUGCCAGCAGCCGCGGUAAUACGGAGGGUGCAAGCGUUAAUCGGAAUUACUGGGCGUAAAGCGCACGCAGGCGGUUUGUUAAGUCAGAUGUGAAAUCCCCGCGCUUAACGUGGGAACUGCAUUUGAAACUGGCAAGCUAGAGUCUUGUAGAGGGGGGUAGAAUUCCAGGUGUAGCGGUGAAAUGCGUAGAGAUCUGGAGGAAUACCGGUGGCGAAGGCGGCCCCCUGGACAAAGACUGACGCUCAGGUGCGAAAGCGU